AGAUAAUUGUCACAUUGGUUUUGGGACUGGUCACAGGCACCAUUAUCCUUUUGCUGAGAGAUGAUUGUACUGAAAUCCGGAAUAGAGCACUGAUGCUCUUUUUCCUGAUGGUCUACCUGUGUCGCAGAAGAACAUUGGCAGUGGAUCUCUUCACGAUCCAGAAGAAGCGGUUUGUACAUGAGUCCAUCAGUGGGUAUUACAGAGUGUCAUCUUAUUUCUUUGGAAGUCUUUUGCUUGAUUUACUACUCGAGAUGAUAUUGACAAGUUUUAUAUUUAUUAUACACUAUACUU